rnacentral:misc_RNA from 1 species
GAUGAAGAACGCAGCGAAAUGCGAUAAGUAGUGUGAAUUGCAGAAUUCAGUGAAUCAUCGAAUCUUUGAACGCACAUUGCGCCUCCUGGCAUUCCGGGAGGCAUGCCUGUUCGAGCGUCAUUAAAAUCACUCAAGCGUAGGUUUGCCUAUUGCUUGGUCUUGAAGAUGGAAGCUAAGUAAUUAGAAUCCUCUUCGAAAUCCAAUGGCGAAGACCCUUGCUCUCCCAAGUGUAGUAAUAACUUAUUCACUGAAGGAAGCUAGUAAUCUUCUGCCGUAACCCCCAUAUUUUCUAUGAUUGACCUCGGAUCAGGUAGGGAUACCCGCUGAACUUAAGCAUAUCAAUAAGCGGAGGA